UAGGGAAUCUUCCGCAAUGGACGCAAGUCUGACGGAGCAACGCCGCGUGAGUGAAGAAGGAUUUCGGUUCGUAAAACUCUGUUGUUAGAGAAGAACAGCGCAUAGAGUAACUGUUAUGCGUGUGACGGUAUCUAACCAGAAAGCCACGGCUAACUACGUGCCAGCAGCCGCGGUAAUACGUAGGUGGCAAGCGUUGUCCGGAUUUAUUGGGCGUAAAGCGAGCGCAGGCGGUCAAUUAAGUCUGAUGUGAAAGCCCCCGGCUCAACCGGGGAGGGUCAUUGGAAACUGGUUGACUUGAGUGCAGAAGAGGGGAGUGGAAUUCCAUGUGUAGCGGUGAAAUGCGUAGAUAUUAGGAGGAAUACCGGUGGCGAAGGCGACUUUCUGGCCAUAACCUGACGCUGAGGUACGAAAGCGUGGGGAGCGAACAGG
rnacentral:rRNA from 1 species